rnacentral:lncRNA from 1 species
GGACUCAGAGGGGAAUGACAAGGAUUCAGUGUCUCUAGGGGAUCUAGGGAGGCUGGUCCUCUGCAUGGAUGCCACGGACUUCAGAAAAGACGCCUGCUCCAGCUUUGGAAUAAAUGUGACAUUGCUGACUUUUUCUAAAGAUCAUUUGUACCAGAUAUAUGGCCAUGACUCUACUGGCCUGAAGAUUUUUUCGAGCACCACCUGAGCCUCCCAGAUUGAUGAGGAUGCCUGGCUGGGGGCCUCUAUGAUGACAGACUGAAUUUUCCCCCAGCUUGGGGAUAUAGAGAGUGAGUCAUCUUUCACUCUAUGUAAAGAAAUUAAGAAGUGUGACAUUCUUCAUUUAACCAUUUCUUUUAAAUUUUUCUUUGAAAAUUUAAAUAUACACAGAGAGUCAAAAGGAAAAGCCCUCGUGACCCUUUAUCCAGCCUCAAAAAUUAUCAAUAUGUUGCCAAAUUCGUUCCAUCUCUACCUCUCACNCUCCAUUCUGUGCUGGUUGUUCAACAGCUUUAUUGAGGUAUAAGAUUCACAGAAUUAGGAGGUCCCUUCACGGCGCAGUGGAAACAAAUCCAAUUGGGAACCAUAAGGUUGUGGGUUUGAUCCCUGGCCUUGCUCAGUGGGUUAAGGAUCCUGCAUUGCCGUGGCUGUGGCUGUGGCCAGCAGCCCUAGCCUGGGAACCUCUAUAUGCUGCAGGUGUGGCCCUAAGAAGCAAAAAAAAAAAAAAAGAUUCACAGAAUUCACCUAUUUUACGAAUCAAAGAUUUUUAGUAUCUUUGCAAACAUCACCACAAUCUAGUCUUAAAUAAAGCAUUUUCAUCAUCCCAAGUCCCAUGGACUCUCUCCUCCCUACUCCCAUGCUUGUUUGUAGUCAAUUCCUAUUUCCAAUUUGAGCUCCAGGCAACCACUGAUCUGCUUUAUAUCUCUAUAGAUUUGCCUCUUCUGGAUAUUUCAUGUACAGAGAAUUAUACAACAUGUAAUCUUUUGUUUCUGGAUUCUUCCACUUACUGUAAUAUUUUUGAGGUUCUUUCAUGUUGGAGCAUGUAUAAGUCUUUCAGUUAUUUUUAUAACUGAAGAGUAUUUCGAUAGAUGGGUAGACCACAUUUUGUUUAUGCAUUCACAAAUUGAUGCUAUGAAUAUUCAUUUAAAAGUCUUUGUGUACAUAUUUUAACUUUUCUGGGGUAGAUUCUUCAGUGUGGAAUUGUGGGGUCACGUGGCAGUUUCUUAAGUAACUAAAAACCUGUGUCUCAAAGUGGUCGCAUCAGUUUACACUUCUUCCAGAAACAUGUCAAAGUUCCAGUUUCUCCACAUCCUCUCCAACACUUAUUAUCGUCUCCAUUUUAUUACAGCCAAUGGACUCCAUGGGAAGUGGUAUCUUAUUGUGGUUUUAAUUUACAUAUCCCCAAUGACCAGUAAUGUCAAGCAUCUUUUCAUGUACUCACUAGCCUUUUUCUCUGAUGAAAAGUCUAUUCAAGUACUGUGCCCACAUAUUAAGUUAACCGGCUUGUUUGUCUUAUUAUUGAGAGGCAAGAGGGUUUUUGUUGUUGUUGUUGUUGUUGUUUAAUGUUCUAGACAUAAAUCCUUUAUGAGAUACAUGAUUUGUGAAUUUUUUUCUCAGUCCAACCUGGGGCUUGUCCUUUCAGUUAAUGAAUGAUGUUUUUGAGUCCCUCUGACCCUGGGUGGUUAUAAUAUCUGUCCACUCAGGAUGUACAGACCUCCCUCAGCUACAUUUAGUUCAUUUGUCCAUCACAUAUGGUGGGGGAGCCACUUUCAACUGAAACUUUUCAAACUCUACAAAGCAUAAAGCUCUGCAUCUGGAGAAAAAACACGGUUGGUCCAGCUUCUAGCUGAGGGGUGGCCCAAUAGAGGGGCAGAGGAGGCUCCAGAAAGGACACCUGCUAUGACUUUGACAGUGACCCAUAGAGAAUUAACAUCUUCCAAUUCAGGAACAUGGAUUGUCUCUCCAUUUAUUUAGAACUUCUUUCAUUUUUGUCACCAUUGUUUUGCAUUUUUCAGUGUACAAAUCUUCUAAUUCUUUUGUUGAGUUUAUUCCUAAGUAUUUUAUGCUUUUUGGUGUUAUUCUGAAUGGAAUUCUUUUCUAAAUUUCAUUUUCAGAUAGCUUAUUGCCAGCAUGUAAAAUUACCAUUGAUUUUUGUAAAUCGAUCCUGUAUCCUGUGACCUUGAUGAAGUCAUUUAUUAUUUCUAGUCACUCUCUCUGGUGACUUCCUUUGGAUUUUCUACACACAAAUGUGACACUUCUUGCACGUUUGUCUUUGUGGGAUAAGAGUCACAGCAGCCCAAUUUUAAACUGAAUGAGUUAGAAUACACCCCAGAUUGUUCCUAUUAUAGUGCUGCAAAUGCCUAAAGAGCAGGGUAGGAGAGGCAUCCAGGUCAUGCUGGGAACCAUGCAGUAUUUGCAGCCUGUCUUACCUCUUGCAUAGCCAUUGGAGACAGCUUUUGGUUUGAGGGUUUUGUCAAAAUGCACCUUUUGCUAUAAGAAUGCGGGAGGGGAUUAUGGAGAAUUGUUGCCUUUGGAAGACUGCUUGGCCUGAGAUACAUUCUUAAGGAAGAUUCCCGGGAAAGAGAAGAGAUCUUCAGGAGGAGGAGAGGCAUGGGGGAAAAAAAAUGGAAGGUAAUAUACUUUCUUCACAUCGAAAUGUGUAAAGUGCAUGAAAGGUGUACAAGUGUAAGAAGAAGGUAUAUAUAAUGAUGCAAAAUCGGCAUUUGGAGCCCUGCACAGAGUGCACAAUUCAAAGAACUAGAUAAAGGUAGUGAAAAAAAGAGGAGGGUUUUUUUUGCAAUAGCUGGAUUGUUGCUAUAAAAGCUGCAAAAUCCUUACACUGUAAAAUAAUUAAAUCCCAACGUAACAUUGACUUUGUGUAAAACACUUAGCUCAGAGUUUGGUUAAGAGCAAAUGUUCAGUACCUGGUAGCUGUUUAUAUUAUGGCUAUUACUUUUGCAACUAAAAUUAGAAGCAUUCUGCAAUUCUCCACAGCCAGUAUUUAUAUGCCAAGGUCACCUUGCUCAAUUCGAUGGGCAUUUCGGGGACAGUAUCGUGGGACUCUGGGAGUGGAUUAAGGCUACUCAGGAUGGAGGCAGACUUCAGAGAAGGUGGCGAGGAAAAUGACAAAAACCAAAACUUUGUACUAACCAUGCAUAGUUUGUAUCAAGACCACAAAGUGUUUUCCCAGGUCCAUUACAGCAUUAUUUACAAUAGCUGAGAUGCAGAACCAACCAACCUAAGUGCCUAUCCACAGGUAAAUGGAUAAAGAAGAUAUGAUUUCUCUCUCUCCCUCCCUCUCUCUCUCUCCAGAUAUAAAUAUAUAAAUAUAUAUACACAUAAUAAUAUUCAGCCAUGAGAAAGAAGGAAAAUACUUCCAUUUGUAACAACGUGGUUGGACAGAGGGCAUUAUUCUAAGUGAAAUAAGUCAGAGAAAAACAAAUACGAUAUGACAUCACUUCUAUAUGGAAUCUAAAAAAGCCAAACUCAUAGAAACAGAGAGGAGAGCCCCUGUGAUUACCAGGGGCUGGGGGCUGGGGGAAAUUGGGAAGAUGUUGGUCAAAGGGUAUAAACUUCCAAUUAAAAGGACAAGUAAGUUCUGGGGGCCUAAUGUACAGCAUGGUGAGUAUAGUUAAUCAUACGGUAUCAUAUACUGAAAAGGUGUUAAGCAUGUAGAUCUUAAAUGUUCUCACCACAAAAACGAAAUGGUAAUUGUGUGAUGUGAUGAAGGUGUUAGCUAACACUACAGUGGCAAUCGUUUUGCAAUAGAUCAGUGUAUCAGAUCAACAUGUUAUAAGCCUUAAACUUACACAAUGUUAUAACACCCUAUCAAUUAUAUGUCAAUAGAGCUGGGGGUGAAAAAAAAAAAAAGACUACAAAGUGCCUGUGAAGAGACUAAUGAAUAAACCUGAAAAGCAUGCAUCCGUACGUGUGUGUUUAUAUUCAGAAAAUCUAUUUCGAGCUUAUCCGUAAUCAUAUUUAAUUGCAUCUUUAAUUUCUAAAUUGCCAGAUUAAGAAACAAGCUCCCUUCUCAUUGUAUUUGAGAAUUUAACAUAGCAAGCGCUUGUCAGAAAGGAGGCCAUUGUGUGGCUGGGCAUGCCACCUGGAGGGGCAGUUUCAGACAGAGCCCUCCCCAUCUCCUUCCCAGCCCUCCCUCCCCUGCCCUCCCCUUCUCACCCCUGCUCUAGUUAAAGGCUGAUUCAUCUGACCUGGAGGCGAUGGUAUCACUGAUUUAGGUAGCAAGGAUCUUUGGGCUACAUUUAGUUCAUCUGGUCACAGAAUACAGCCCAGGGACCGAGAUCUAGUUGAUGGGAAGGCUUUCCAAUCCUAUACAUCACAAGGCUCUACAUCUGGAGAAACCGCCUCUGUCAUGCCAGCUUCUGUGUUCCACGGAACCAAAAGUCAAAGCUUGUCCGAUAGGAUGACCCAGGGUGGGGCCCCAGAAGUGGCCUGAAUGCGGUCAGGUAGCAAGGACACUCCAUGGCCAGCAGCUUCAGGAGAAGAGGCGGUGGUGCUGCGGCUCCCGGGUAAUGAGGCAUUCUCUGCCCGGCUCAGUCUCCCUGCUCAUGGGCAGGUAGACAAUCCUGCAGCCAGAGAGAGAGUCCCAGGUUGCAGGCACAUUGAAUUCACCUCUGUGUGAGGCUUAGCCAGGAGGGGUAACCUUAGGGAACCCAGCACCAAAUGAAUGAACAUUCUAGAUUCAACUUCGCCAUGUGGGAUGUGAAGCCAUUUCACUUCUCCGAGCCCCCAUUUCUGCUUCUAUGUAUCAGAAUUGUAAUAAUUCUCACUGGCAGGGUGGCAUCAAGGAUAGAGAAAGAAUGCACUCUGGAAUUUUCUCUAUGGGGUCCAAAGCACCACACAAAAGGGAACCAAAAAAGCAACAAGCUGCCUCCAGGAUGCUACAUCUAAAUGUGGCCCAGCUAUUCAUACGUAAAGCAGGGCCAAUUUUCUCACCGAUAGUCUACUACUAACAAAGGUAAUUUAAAGGUUAAGAAGGUACAGUAUGAUUUUCAUAGAAUUCUAUAACAUUAUUUUCAUUUGAAUGCAACGAGCAUGGUCAUAAUUCUUCUUUCUUUUCUGAAUGGGUCCCUGCACAAAAAUACAUUGUUUAUCAUGGCUCUAAUUGGCUCCCUUGUUUCAGGCUGACACUCUCUCAGAUUCAU